rnacentral:rRNA from 1 species
AGAGUUUGAUCCUGGCUCAGAGCGAACGCUGGCGGCGUGCUUAACACAUGCAAGUCGAGUGCGUGUCCGUAGCAAUACGGAUGACGCACGGCGCACGGGUGCGUAACACGUGGGCAAUCUGCCCUCGGAUGGGGGAUAACCCCGCGAAAGCGGGGCUAAUACCGCAUGACAUUCCCGGGACUCCGGUCUUGGGACUCAAA